GUCGCGUUCGGAGAAUGGGUUUUCGGUGUUGAGGCCGUAAACGGAGCUCGAUGAUGCCCAAACAAUGGAUGGCUGAGGAUUGGCUGCUUUGGCUACUUCGAGCAAGUUAACAAAGCCUGCAAUGUUGGAGCUGAUGUACGACUGUGGGUUUUGCAUGGCGUAACGUACGCCGGCCUGAGCCGCUAAGUGAAGGACGUGAGUGAAGGGCACAACGUCGAAUAGCUUGGUCAGCAAUGGCCCGUCGUUCAAGUCACCUUCGACGAUGAAAACUUGGUGCUUACUCAAAAGGUUUUGCCUGGCUCUUUUCAAAGACGGAUCGUAGUAGUUAUUGAAGUUGUCUAAACCAAGAACCCCAUCGCCUCGUUUCUUCAAAGCGAGGGAACAG
rnacentral:lncRNA from 1 species